CUCCAAUAUCCUUCCACUAAAGCCCCAUUUUAAUGAAGCUUGCCUGUACUGGGUUUCUACCAAUUGCCAGAAAGAAUAGUCUGACUAACGCACUCAUCAACAUGCCUGUGUUCUACAACUGCCCAGGAGCACCAUUUCCAGACGGCACGCUGUGGCUGGGCUCUGCAAUGUCAGGUGCCUCUGGAGGGGAAGGGAGCUAAGGAGGAGAAUGGAGUGAAAACACCUCGGCCCAAGAGAAGAAGCAAAACCGGGGAGCACAUAGAUGGAGGAGGGGUUCUGAAAAUGCACUGGAAAGCACUUCUGCAACCAAAAUCAAAGUGAGCACCACACAUGUUUACUGAGUUUUUGUGCAGGUAUGUUAACAAGGAACGCUAUGCUUGCAGGGGGGACUCGGAACGUGUACAGUCAAAUGUUAGUGUGCCCUAAUGUGCGCCCAUAUACCGGUCCUGCACGAGGGCUUUGGGUACAAGGGGGAAGCAUAGAAAACUGUCAUCGUCCCUGCGUUCCAGUUCAGUGGCAGAUGCAAACACAGGAGCAAGACAAUGGACUGGAAUCCAGAACUUGUUUCAAUGCUCUAGGAUGGCCUCAGAGUAAUGAAGAGACCGUGGAGGGCCAGAUGCGUUUGAACUGGUUCGAGCAAGGGCAGGAGAUCCGGGCAGGAGGGUCGAAUUCUGAGUCCUUGCAGAAAUCUCGGGAAGCAAAUGAGAAACUAAAAGUCCAGCGCCAGGCGCUGGUGGAAAGAGAUAACCCAAGCAACUUGAAGUGUCCUUUGGGAGGGCUGUGAGUGAGGGGCGGGGUCCGUGCAGGGCCAUGGGGUAGCCGGCAGAACACCUGAAGCGACCCCCACAGCAUGGAAGCCGGAGGCUAUGCUUCUCUGGUGUUUGUGUUUUGUGUUUUCGUAGAGCUUGUGGCUGGUGGUGGCUGGAAAGGACUCUCCCCAGAGAGCCUGUGCAGCCUGAAAGCUGGGGAGGGUGUGGUGGCCCUGGGGUGCAGCCACAGUCCCGAUGCCCUUCGCCACUCCUCAGCCCGCUGUGCCCUGUGCCCAGAAAGUUUCAUUCAGAAAGAAAUGCUUUCCAGGCAAUGUGAAGAAGUCCCAGAAAACCCAUUUUUCGAAGAAAAUGUCCUUUUUGGGCAGUGAUUUUUCCACUGGUGAGCUGCAAGGAUUUUUAAAACCUGCAACUAAACCUGCCUGUUUAGUCAGCGGCACUGACAUUACUUCCCUUAGAUGGUCACAUACAAAAUGACUACAGCCAACAUGAUAGCUGCCCAGUGCGAAUAAGUCAAAAUUAUAUCAAUUUUGUCAGAUUGG